AUAUGCUUCGGGGAGUCGCAAAUAGACAUAGAUCCGGAGAUUUCCGAAUGGGGAAACCUACUUGAGCAACCCUCAAGUAUCAUACACUCAAUAAAAUAGGUGUAUGAGGGAACACCAGGGGAACUGAAACAUCUAAGUACCCUGAGGAAGAGAAAGAAAGUUCGAUUUCCUAAGUAGCGGCGAGCGAAAGGGAAAGAGCCCAAACCAGAUUAAUCUGGGGUUGAGGACACAAUAAAGGAUUGAAGAGUUCAUAGUCGAAGAAAGCUGGGAAGCUUUACAACAUAAGGUGAUAGUCCUGUAGACGAAAUGAACGCUUCACAGAUUGUGCUCCAGAGUACCACGAGACACGAGAAAUCUUGUGGGGAAGCAGGGGAGGACCACCUCCCAAGGCUAAAUACUACUUGGUGACCGAUAGAGAAAUAGUACCGUGAGGGAAAGGUAAAAGAACCCCGGGAGGGGAGUGAAAUAGAACCUGAAAACCCUAUGCUUACAAGCAGUGGAAGCACAUUAUUAGUGUGACCACGUACUUUUUGUAGAACGGGCC
rnacentral:rRNA from 1 species